rnacentral:rRNA from 1 species
CCUACGGGAGGCAGUAGUGAGGAAUAUUGGUCAAUGGACGAGAGUCUGAACCAGCCAAGUAGCGUGAAGGAUGACUGCCCUAUGGGUUGUAAACUUCUUUUAUAUGGGAAUAAAACGUUCCACGUGUGGGAUUUUGUAUGUACCAUAUGAAUAAGGAUCGGCUAACUCCGUGCCAGCAGCCGCGGUAAUACGGAGGAUCCGAGCGUUAUCCGGAUUUAUUGGGUUUAAAGGGAGCGUAGGUGGAUUGUUAAGUCAGUUGUGAAAGUUUGCGGCUCAACCGUAAAAUUGCAGUUGAAACUGGCAGUCUUGAGUACAGUAGAGGUAGGCGGAAUUCGUGGUGUAGCGGUGAAAUGCUUAGAUAUCACGAAGAACUCCGAUUGCGAAGGCAGUUCACUGGACUGCAACUGACACUGAGGCUCGAAAGUGUGGGUAUCAAACAGGAUUAGAUACCCGUGUAGUC